UUGCCCGCCUUAGCAAUGUUUAUUAACAUUAGAGCGGCAUUACAUGCUGUUGUACUCAAAAAGGCAAAUGUUUACUAACAUAAAAUGAGGGUAAACUGUUUAUGUUCUGGUCGCGCUCUUGAGUUCAAAAAAGACCAUUGGACGGGUAGGUCGUGCGUCGGGUGCGUAGUAAAAUCUCGGGAAAAGCCGUUGAUGAUUCGUCGUUGCGUCGCGCGUGUUUCUGUGUUUGUGCGUGUUUUUGGAUUAACAAAUUAACAAGAUUAAAAAAUCCAAUAACAUAAAUAUGCGGCGGCAAUUGUAGCGAUUCGUGUGCUUGCGAUUAAACCAAUAAAUAAUACACAAAAUCGCAACAGCCGAACGUGUGUGUGAGUGCCAAUUGCAAGACAAAAUGGCUGCAUUUCAACGCAUUUAAUGCGCGCACAAAAACAACAACAUAAGAGAACAACAUACACAAAGCACAAGCAAACAUCUCUGCUACAAAACCGCAAAAACAUCACCAACAACAACAACAGCAACAACUUUGUUGAGAAUUUAAAACUGUAAAUUUCGUUUCGAACGCGUUGCGGUGUUUUUUCUCUUCUCGGUUUUUCGUUUUCUUUUUCAUU